rnacentral:rRNA from 1 species
AACGAACGCUGGCGGUAUGCUUAACACAUGCAAGUCGAACGAACAAAAUUGGGGCUUGCUCCAAUUUUAGUGAGUGGCAAACGGGUGAGUAACACGUGGGAAUCUACCUAUCAGUACGGAAUAACAUUUGGAAACAGAUGCUAAUACCGUAUAUUCUCCAAGGAGGAAAGAUUUAUCGCUGAUAGAUGAGCCCGCGUAAGAUUAGGUAGUUGGUAGGGUAUGGCCUACCAAGCCGACGAUCUUUAGCUGGUCUGAGAGGAUGAUCAGCCACACUGGGACUGAGACACGGCCCAGACUCCUACGGGAGGCAGCAGUGGGGAAUAUUGGACAAUGGGCGAAAGCCUGAUCCAGCAAUACCGCGUGAAUGAUGAAGGCCUUAGGGUUGUAAAGUUCUUUUAGUUGGAAGGAUAAUGACGGUACCAACAGAAAAAGCCCCGGCUAACUCCGUGCCAGCAGCCGCCGUAA